rnacentral:misc_RNA from 1 species
ACACCUCAACUCUCAUGGUCUUCCAUGAUGAGCUUGGACUUUGGGGGUUUGCUGGCCCUGCGGCCGGCUCCUCUCAAACGAAUUAGCUUGCCAGUGUUUGGUGGCAUCACGAGUGUGAUAACUAUCUACGCUCGCGGUCGUCCGCCAGGUAACCCUCAGCGAUGAAGGUUCAUUGGGGCUUAUAAACGUCUCUCCUCGGCGAGGACAACUUUUGAAC